AACGAACGCUGGCGGCGUGCCUAACACAUGCAAGUCGGACGAGAAAGUUCCUUUCGGGGAACGAGUACAGUGGCGCACGGGUGAGUAACACGUUGACAACCUGCCUUCCAGUCCGGGACAACCCCGCGAAAGCGAGGCUAAUACCGGAUAAUAAGCCGGGCCGCAUGGCUUGGUUUUGAAAGACUUGUCGCUGGAAGAGGGGUCUGCGGGACAUUAGCUAGUUGGCGGGGUAACGGCCCACCAAGGCUAUGAUGUCUAGCGGGUCUGAGAGGAUGAUCCGCCACACUGGAACUGAGACACGGUCCAGACUCCUACGGGAGGCAGCAGUGGGGAAUUUUGCGCAAUGGGCGAAAGCCUGACGCAGCAACGCCGCGUGGAUGAAGAAGGCCCUCGGGUCGUAAAGUCCUUUUCUGAGGGAAGAGAUCAGACGGUACCUCAGGAAUAAGCGUCGGCUAACUCUGUGCCAGCAGCCGCAGUAAC
rnacentral:rRNA from 1 species